rnacentral:rRNA from 1 species
GACGAACGCUGGCGGCGUGCCUAAUACAUGCAAGUAGAACGCUGAAGAGAGGAGCUUACUCUUCUUGGAUGAGUUGCGAACGGGUGAGUAACGCGUAGGUAACCUGCCUUGUAGCGGGGGAUAACUAUUGGAAACGAUAGCUAAUACCGCAUAACAAUGGAUGACACAUGUCAUUUAUUUGAAAGGGGCAAUUGCUCCACUACAAGAUGGACCUGCGUUGUAUUAGCUAGUAGGUGAGGUAAUGGCUCACCUAGGCGACGAUACAUAGCCGACCUGAGAGGGUGAUCGGCCACACUGGGACUGAGACACGGCCCAGACUCCUACGGGAGGCAGCAGUAGGGAAUCUUCGGCAAUGGGGGCAACCCUGACCGAGCAACGCCACGUGAGUGAAGAAGGUUUUCGGAUCGUAAAGCUCUGUUGUAAGUCAAGAACGGGUGUGAGAGUGGAAAGUUCACACUGUGACGGUAGCUUACCAGAAAGGGACGGCUAACUACGU